rnacentral:rRNA from 1 species
UACGGGGGGAGCAAGCGUUGUUCGGAUUUACUGGGCGUAAAGGGCUCGUAGGCGGCCAACUAAGUCGGAUGUGAAAUCCCCAAGCUUAACUUGGGAACUGCAUCCGAUACUGGAUGGCUUGAAUCCGGGAGAGGGAUGCAGAAUUCCAGGUGUAGCGGUGAAAUGCGUAGAUAUCUGGAGGAAUACCGGUGGCGAAGGCGGCAUCCUGGACCGGCAUUGACGCUGAGGAGCGAAAGCUAGGGGAGCAACGGG